GGGACGUCAGUUGGAGGGUUCGGCCACUUCCAUUGAGUCAGUGAAAGCAAGUUCUGAUGAGGGGACACUCACCACACCAAGAAAAACUCGCAAGGGUAGCAUGAAAACCCUGAAGGUGGGAUUCAAAUCUUUUAAGCUGACCUUGGGCGUACGCAAAAAGAAGAAACAGAAAAAGAGAAGAUCAAGUGCUACAGAUCAAGAGCGUUCCACUUCACAGAUAACUAGCGAAGUUGCUUCUUCUGGCUCGGGUUGCUUGUAUGGAAAGGAUAACUGUGUCAAUCUCCAUGAUGAAAAGAUAAGGAGUCGUAAUGGGAAUGUGUUGCUUGGCUCUCCAGCCGUAGAGCUCAAGGAGAGAAGUAAUCAAAAUGGUGCCGUUCUUGCGUCAGACCAAGAGCAAACGUUGAAGAGCUCUGACAUGUCUGAAGCAAGCCAAAACGCCAAAAGAAAGAGAGAGAGCGCAAAAGAAGAACAAAACUCUUUACAAAAAGAACAGGUGACCAUUCUUACACGUGGUUUGCCAGAGACAGUGGGUAAGCCUUCCCUCUUCUCAACUGUAUUGCUAUAACGAACUUUAUCCAGUUAGGAGAUAACACCUAUCAUUCUCCAAAUGCAUCAAUCAAGCCGUUGACCUGAGCAAGAGCUCUUAGAAUAUGCAAUUGUGUUUGAUGGGAUUAAGUCUUAUGAACCAUUGCAGUUGCCAAAUGGGAUGAGGAAGUUUCAGCUUCUAAGAUGAGAAAGAGUGAAGAAGACUCGAGAAUCGGAUAUGUAGCAGAUGAGUGGUGAGCUCGAGAUUUAUGUUUUGGUUAUUAUAUUAUUGGGCAGUUGUUUUACAUGAUAAAUGGUAUUGGGAUUGUGGCAGGGAUGAAGAAUAUGAUAGAGGGAAGAAGAAGAAGAUAAGGAUGAAAGAGGAGAUGUAUGCAGGGCCGAACCCGUUCCAGUUGUUUCCGUCGAAGAAACAACAUACAGAUACAAAGAAGAAAUGGACGCAACGCAUGAAUACUGCAAAGACAGGCUUCCGGAUAUGAUGAAUAAGUAAGACCAUCCAUAAUCUAUUAAAAAAAAAAAAAAUUGUAAUCCACAUGUUGCUGCUGUAUUUGCCUUGAGAGUAGUAAUGUUAACAAGAGAGGUUAUAUAGACACUAGAAGUUGUUUUCAUCUCUUGUCCUCAGUUUUGUUCUGUUUGUGAUGAAACAAAGAGUUGACACAUCCCCUUACUCUUUAAACUCUCGUCUUGUAGUAUCUCUUUUUGCUCCACCAAUAAUAAUAUGCUUAUUCAUUUACAGUGUAAGGCAGUUUUUCAUCGCAGACAGCUUUCGGGAGCAAACAAAAAGAUAAAGCAAAAAAAAUAGAAUAAAAAACGGAAAGCAGUUCAUUCAGGGAAUCAGAAAACGUCACGUAGUUGAAGACGUUGGGGUAUAAAAACUAACUCCCUCCCUCCACCACAAUCUUCGAGAGGGUCACUUCAAUAUUAUCCAACCAUGAGCUCGUUUUUGUUUCCUUCUUCUUCUCCGAUUCCCAAAUCUCACUGGCGCGCGAACUCCAUCCCUAAACCUAAUCGCCCGAUUACACUCUCUCUUCUUCAUGGAAACUCCUAUUCGUGGAGGUUAUCUUGUAAACUCAGUCUCGAUUAUUUCGAGGAAAGCGUGGAGGAAGAUGAAAUCCCUCAGUUUCUCGACUUCUCUGCGGAGGGGGAGGAGCCAGAUUUGGAGAAAGAAACGGUUUCUGCUCCAACUAUGACGCUGAUGCAGAGGAAGAAGAAGAAAGGAGAUGAAGAGAGCUUAGAAGAUAGAUUCAAGCUCAGAAAUGGAAAGGAGGUUGCAACCCCCUUCUUCUUUUGUUAUGGUUUUAGUGUUAAAGAAGCAGAAAAUCAUUUUUGUGAAGGUCUGGAGAAUCUCGGGAAUACAUGUUUUCUCAAUUCGGUAGUGCAGUGUUUGACUUACACGGAGCCUUUAGCUGCUUACCUGCAAGAUGUGGGCCAUGGGAGACGAUGUAAGUUGCUUUUAAGAUGCUAUGGUUAAUUCUUAUACUAAGUGAGUGUCUGAGACAAUGUUCGUAUCAAAACGUUUGGUUGUAGGUCAUAUGGCUGGGUUCUGUGCUUUAUGUGCAAUGCAGAAGCAUGUCAGGCUUGCUCUUCAAGCUAGUGGCAAAAUAGUAGCACCCAAAUAUUUGGUCUCCAACUUGCGAUGUAAUGCUUCUCAGAACCUUGCCCUGUUUGAACUAUUAGUGUGCCAAUUACUAAUCAGAGACUAAUGAGGGAUGAUUCUCAACUGGUUGAUUAGGCGUAUCAAGAAACUUCAGAAACUGUCGACAGGAAGAUGCACAUGAAUACAUGAUCAACUUGCUGGAGUGCAUGCACAGGUGUUGUUUGCCUUCUGGUGUACCAAGUGAAUCCUCUGAUGCUUACAGGAGCAGCUUGGUUCACAAAAUAUUUGGUGGUAGCCUCCGUAGUCGGGUAAAGUUGCAUCCUUUGGAGCAUAUAUUUUACCUAUGGCCUCAGCUUUUUCUAAUAUUUUUUAUUGUUCAGGUGAAAUGCGCGCAAUGUUCACAUUGCUCAGACAAGUUUGAUCCGUUUCUUGACCUGAGUCUAGACAUUUCGAAGGCAGAUUCACUGCAGAGAGCACUUUCACGCUUCACUGCUGAUGAGCUCUUAGAUGAUGGUGCAAAAGUUUACCAGUGUGAAAGAUGCAAGCAGAAGGUUAGGGCUGUAAAACAGCUAACUGUUUCUAAAGCGCCUUAUGUCCUAACUGUACAUCUCAAACGGUUCGAAGCGCACAGAUCCGAAAAAAUCGACAAGAAGGUCCAGUUUGCCUCUGCAGUUGACAUGAAACCUUUUGUCAGUGGUCCCUGUGUAAGUAGACCUCGUCUUGUGCUCUAUUUUCUAAGAUUUUGACAUGUUCUUGGAGUUGUUUAGAUAAUCUGGUUCAUGUACUUGUGUUGAACAGGCAGGUAAUUUGAAGUACACUCUAUAUGGUGUUUUGGUUCAUUAUGGUCGAAGUAGUCAUUCUGGUCACUACGCCUGCUUUGUUCGCACUUCAAGUGGCAUGUGGUAUUCCCUUGAUGACAACAGGGUAAGCAGCGAUGUUUCUACGUUCUUUUGGGUCGCAAAUUGUACAUAGGUUCCUUGUGGUAAGUUCCUCUUUACAUUGUUGGUGUAGGUUUCCAAAGUUAGUGAGAAUACUGUGUUCAAUCAGAAGGCGUAUAUGCUAUUCUAUGUUCGUGAUAGACAAAACCCAGCCCCAAAGAACACGGUUGCCGUGGUUAAUAAAGAGACUCCCAGAGAGAGCGUUGCCACAAACAGAGCUUCUUUGAAUAUAUUCUCUAGCCGAAAUGAUCAAGUGAAUGGCUCAGGUGUCAUGAAAGCAUCUAGUUUAAAGGCUCCUGUAGCCAAUAGUAUAGCACCCUUGAGAUCAUGUGAUAAAGGUUCUCCUGCUGUCUUGACCCAAAAAGAUUUGAAUGCUAAAGAGACUCAGAAAGAUGCCCCAAGCAUUGUAGAGGCAAAAGGGAUACUAAAGAGGGAAAAUGAUACAGAACCAUUAGAAUCAUGUGAUAAAGGUGCUCCUGCUGUCUUGGCCCAAAAAGAUUUAAAUGCCAAAGAGACUCAGAAAGAACUUUCCAGCAGUGUGGAGGCAAAUGGGAUCCUUAAGAGGGAAAAUGGUUCAGCACCCUUGAAACCAUGUGAUCUACGUGCUCCUGCUGUCUCAACACAGAAAGUUUUAUGUACCAAAGAGACCCUUCAGAAGGAAGUGCCACUUCCACAGGCUAAUGGGGAAGUAUCUUUGGUAAAGUAUGGUUCCAAGGCUGCGUGCACAGUAUUACUAGGGAAGGAUUCUCUUCUCCUGGAAGGCAGCACAAACACUCAAAUUCUCGUCAACUUGCCUGCUUCCGCAGCUAAAGAUGGAAAUAACUUGAAAGAGGCUGCCAAUUCACUGAAGGUGAGUGUACAAUUAAUUACCUACCUUCACGAGUCAGCAUCUUGUUUUGUAUGGCCACCUUUUUUAUUAAUGGGAUUGAGUGUUUCUAACUUGCAUUUGGCUAUGCUCUCCAGGUUAGAGAUGUAUCGGUUGGUAAUUCUCCUAUUGAAGAAGCUGUUCAUGUUAAUCAGACUUUGGGACGUCAGUUGGAGGGUUCGGCCACUUCCAUUGAGUCAGUGAAAGCAAGUUCUGAUGAGGGGACUCUCACCACACCAAGAAAAACUCGCAAGGGUAGCAUGAAAACCCUGAAGGUGGGAUUCAAAUCUUUUAAGCUGACCUUGGGCGUACGCAAAAAGAAGAAACAGAAAAAGAGAAGAUCAAGUGCUACAGAUCAAGAGCGUUCCACUUCACAGAUAACUAGCGAAGUUGCUUCUUCUGGCUCGGGUUGCUUGUAUGGAAAGGAUAACUGUG
rnacentral:lncRNA from 1 species